rnacentral:rRNA from 1 species
GUAAACGGCGGCCGUAACUAUAACGGUCCUAAGGUAGCGAAAUUCCUUGUCGGGUAAGUUCCGACCCGCACGAAAGGCGUAAUGAUUUGGGCACUGUCUCAACGAGAGACUCGGUGAAAUUUUAGUACCUGUGAAGAUGCAGGUUACCCGCGACAGGACGGAAAGACCCCAUGGAGCUUUACUGCAGUUUGAUAUUGAGUAUCUGUACCACAUGUACAGGAUAGGUAGGAGCCUAGGACCUCGGGACGCCAGUUUCGAGUGAGGCGUUGUUGGGAUACUACCCUUGUGUUAUGGCUACUCUAACCCAGAUAGGUUAUCCCUAUCGGAGACAGUGUCUGACGGGCAGUUUGACUGGGGCGGUCGCCUCCUAAAAGGUAACGGAGGCGCCCAAAGGUUCCCUCAGAAUGGUUGGAAAUCAUUCAUAGAGUGUAAAGGCAUAAGGGAGCUUGACUGCGAGACCUACAAGUCGAGCAGGGUCGAAAGACGGACUUAGUGAUCCGGUGGUUCCGCAUGGAAGGGCCAUCGCUCAACGGAUAAAAGCUACCCUGGGGAUAACAGGCUUAUCUCCCCCAAGAGUUCACAUCGACGGGGAGGUUUGGCACCUCGAUGUCGGCUCGUCGCAUCCUGGGGCUGUAGUCGGUCCCAAGGGUUGGGCUGUUCGCCCAUUAAAGCGGUACGCGAGCUGGGUUCAGAACGUCGUGAGACAGUUCGGUCCCUAUCCGUCGCGGGCGUAGGAAAUUUGAGAGGAUCUGCUCCUAGUACGAGAGGACCAGAGUGGACUUACCGCUGGUGUACCAGUUGUUCUGCCAAGAGCAUCGCUGGGUAGCUAUGUAGGGAAGGGAUAAACGCUGAAAGCAUCUAAGUGUGAAACCCACCUCAAGAUGAGAUUUCCCAUGAUUUUAUAUCAGUAAGAGCCCUGAGAGAUGAUCAG